AUUGAACGCUGGCGGCAGGCCUAACACAUGCAAGUCGAGCGGAUGAAGGGAGCUUGCUCCUGGAUUCAGCGGCGGACGGGUGAGUAAUGCCUAGGAAUCUGCCUGGUAGUGGGGGAUAACGUCCGGAAACGGGCGCUAAUACCGCAUACGUCCUGAGGGAGAAAGUGGGGGAUCUUCGGACCUCACGCUAUCAGAUGAGCCUAGGUCGGAUUAGCUAGUUGGUGGGGUAAAGGCCUACCAAGGCGACGAUCCGUAACUGGUCUGAGAGGAUGAUCAGUCACACUGGAACUGAGACACGGUCCAGACUCCUACGGGAGGCAGCAGUGGGGAAUAUUAGACAAUAGGCGAAAGCCUGAUCCAGCCAUGCCGCGUGUGUGAAGAAGGUCUUCGGAUUGUAAAGCACUUUAAGUUGGGAGGAAGGGCAGUAAGUUAAUACCUUGCUGUUUUGACGUUACCAACAGAAUAAGCACCUGCUAACUUCGUG
rnacentral:rRNA from 1 species